rnacentral:tRNA from 1 species
AAUGAAGUGGCUGAGAAUAGGCAAUAAAUUGUAAAUUUAUUCACAAGAUUAAUCUUCUUCAUUA